AAAACAUCGCCUCUUGUUAAUAAUAAGAGGUCCCGCCUGCCCAGUGAUAAACUUCAACGGCCGCGGUACCCUAACCGUGCAAAGGUAGCAUAAUCACUUGUUCUCUAAAUAAGGACUCGUAUCAAUGGCAUCACGAGGGUUGUACUGUCUCCCCUAUCCAAUCAGUGAAACUGAUCUCCCCGUGAAAAAGCGGGGAUAAAACUAUAAGACGAGAAGACCCCAUGGAGCUUUAAACCAACAGCAAUUUAGUAAAUAUUCCCUUAAAACUACAAAAUUAUGCUAUCGGCUUUAGGUUGGGGUGACCGCGGAGUAAAACUUAACCUCCAUGUCGAAAAGAUUAAUCUUAACCCAAGAACCACUAUUCUAAGAAUUAGAAAACUAACGGACAAUGACCCGAUUAUCGAUCAACGAACCAAGUUACCCUGGGGAUAACAGCGCAAUCUACUUCAAGAGUCCUUAUCGACAAGUAGGCUUACGACCUCGAUGUUGGAUCAGGGUAUCCCAGUGGCGCAACCGCUACUAAAGGUUCGUUUGUUCAACGAUUAAAACCCUACGUGAUCU
rnacentral:rRNA from 1 species